rnacentral:tRNA from 1 species
GCUGAAGUGGUGGAACUGGUAGACACGCAGGACUUAAAAUCCUGUGCCCUCAACAGGCGUGCGGGUUCGAUUCCCGCCUUCAGUAC